rnacentral:lncRNA from 1 species
AAGUCCUAAGCAGGAUUGAUCAACAGAGAGUGUUGAUCUCUAUGACAAAUUCCUCUUCAAGGGAGGGCUCCCUGUUCAGCUGCAAGGAUUCAGAUGAGCCCACAGCCUCCAGACACAUCUCAGCUUGUGAGCUCUUCCAGGGCAGCCCUUGGCCAGUGCCAGAGCACAGCAGAGGUACAAGAUCCUCGCAACUUCUGCCCAGUGAGGGGUUCUUCCAAGGGGUCGCCUUUUCUCUGAGCUCCCA